GACGAACGCUGGCGGCGUGCUUAACACAUGCAAGUCGAACGGAAAGGCCCCUUCGGGGGUACUCGAGUGGCGAACGGGUGAGUAACACGUGAGUAACCUGCCCUUGACUUCGGGAUAACUUCAGGAAACUGGGGCUAAUACCGGAUAGGAAUCCUUGCUGCAUGGUGGGGGUUGGAAAGCUUCGGCGGUUUUGGAUGGACUCGCGGCUUAUCAGCUUGUUGGUGGGGUAGUGGCUUACCAAGGCUUUGACGGGUAGCCGGCCUGAGAGGGCGACCGGCCACAUUGGGACUGAGAUACGGCCCAGACUCCUACGGGAGGCAGCAGUGGGGAAUAUUGCACAAUGGGCGGAAGCCUGAUGCAGCAACGCCGCGGGCGGGAGGACGGCCUUCGGGUUGUAAACCGCUUUCAGCAGGGGCGAAGCUUGUGGUGACGGUACCUGCAGAAGAAGCACCGGCUAACUACGUG
rnacentral:rRNA from 1 species